rnacentral:rRNA from 1 species
AUUGAACGCUGGCGGCAGGCCUAACACAUGCAAGUCGAGCGGAUGAAGGGAGCUUGCUCCUGGAUUCAGCGGCGGACGGGUGAGUAAUGCCUAGGAAUCUGCCUGGUAGUGGGGGCUAACGUCCGGAAACGGGCGCUAAUCCCGCAUACGUCCUGAGGGAGAAAGUGGGGGAUCUUCGGACCUCACGCUAUCAGAUGAGCCUAGGUCGGAUUAGCUAGUUGGUGGGGUAAAGGCCUACCAAGGCGACGAUCCGUAACUGGUCUGAGAGGAUGAUCAGUCACACUGGAACUGAGACACGGUCCAGACUCCUACGGGAGGCAGCAGUGGGGAAUAUUGGACAAUGGGCGAAAGCCUGAUCCAGCCAUGCCGCGUGUGUGAAGAAGGUCUUCGGAUUGUAAAGCACUUUAAGUUGGGAGGAAGGGCAGUAAGUUAAUACCUUGCUGUUUUGACGUUACCAACAGAAUAAGCACCGGCUAACUUCGUG